rnacentral:tRNA from 1 species
AGGGUAAUAGCUCAAUGGUAGAGUGCAUGCUUAGCAUGCACGAGGUCCUGGGUUCAAUCCUCAGUACCUCCA